ACCCCUCUAAAUACAAUUCAAAUAUUAUAGAAUGUAGUACUUUUAUCAAUUUAAUAUCUGAUAUGUGGGUCAUCGACUCCACUUGAUAUUAAUUUUAUUUUUUUAUGAGGGAAAAUCCAUUAGCUUGGUGAUGUGGUUUUUCAUGCAUCACCUUGAACUUCCACUAUUGUUGCUACAACUUACGCACUCCUC